rnacentral:lncRNA from 1 species
AGGUAGUGCACCCGGGACAUUAGGAGCCGUACAGAAAGGCCAUUCAGCUGAUUUCCAAGGCACUGUAGGGUUUUUAAGGCAAUGUUUAACCCCUUGCUUUGGGAGGGCGGGCAGAGCAAUGUGACCUUAGUUUGUUUCCUUGCGUGCAGCUGAUGGAACUUCGGGAGCAGCCUCCCACCCAAAGCUGGCUUCGGGGGUCUUGGUCUCCGUUUGCUUUUCUCGCUUGCUGCCUGCUCUGA